AGAGUUUGAUCCUGGCUCAGGAUAAACGCUGGCGGCGUGCCUAACACAUGCAAGUCGAACGCUCUGCGCAAGCAGGGAGUGGCGGACGGGUGAGGAACACGUGGGUUAUCUACCCAAAGGUGAGGAAUACCGGCGAGAAAUCGCCGACAAUACCGCAUAGGUUUGGAAACAAACAAAGCUCGCAAGGGCGCCUUUGGAUG
rnacentral:rRNA from 1 species